UCAGGCUGAUGCUGUGACCACUUCCCUGGGGAGCUGUUCCAGUGCCCAAACACCCUCUGGGAAAGCUCUGCUCCCUGUUUUUCCACACAGCAACAUCACCUAUGAACACUUGGACACGGGCAGCACCCUCACUGAUACACCAGAAGAUAUGCUGAGUGCCAGGCAGCUGAUCCUCCAUGACAGGAACCACCUCCCAUAAAGCCCACCAGGGCAACAGGCCUUCAUUGCACAUGUCCUUCCAGCUUAUGGCUGUUCUGCUGCAAGGGAAUGGAGUCAGAUUCCAGAGGGCAAGAGGGAGGCAAAGCCAGCUGCAAUGCAAUCAAGCAACUGCUGUGGGAAGAAGCCAGGCAGUAAAGGAAGGAUGAUUUACUGACACAAGCUAAGCCAAUAUAAACACUUACGAUACAGGUGCCUGUGCUCUCAGAUAUCGCCUGAUUUAAUUCAAUUGUUUUGUAAACCGAUUUAGUUAAAUCUGUAUAAAACUGGUGUUUAAACAAGCCCAAACAGUGGUUAAAAUGUUGUUAAUAA